rnacentral:rRNA from 1 species
GAUGAACGCUGGCGGCGUGCCUAAUACAUGCAAGUCGAGCGAACAGACGAGGAUCUUGCUCCUUUCACGUUAGCGGCGGACGGGAGUGAAACACGUGUAUAACCUACUUAUAAUACUGGGAUAACUUCGGGAAACCGGCGCUAAUACCGUAUAAUAUCUUGAACCGCAUGGUUGAAUGGUGAGAGACGGUUGUUCUGUCACUUAUAGAGGGAUACGCGCCGGAUUAGCUAGUUGGUAAGGUAACGGCUUACCAAGGCAACGAUGCGUAGCCGACGGGAGAGGGGGGUCGCCCACACUGGAGCGGGGACACGGUCAAGGCUCCUGCGAGAGGCAGCAGUAGGGAACCUUCCGCAAUGGUCGAAAGCCUGACGGAGCAACGCCGCGUGAGUGAUGAAGGUCUUCGGAUCGUAAUGCUCUGUUAUUAGGGAAGAACAAAUGUGUAAGUAACUAUGCACGUCUUGACGGUACCUAAUCAGAAAGCCACGGCUAACUACGUG